rnacentral:rRNA from 1 species
UACGUAGGGGGCUAGCGUUGUCCGGAAUCAUUGGGCGUAAAGAGCGUGUAGGCGGUCCGGUAAGUCCGCUGUGAAAGUCCAGGGCUCAACCCUGGGAUGCCGGUGGAUACUGUCGGGCUAGAGUACGGAAGAGGCGAGUGGAAUUCCCGGUGUAGCGGUGAAAUGCGCAGAUAUCGGGAGGAACACCAAUUGCGAAGGCAGCUCGCUGGGACGUUACUGACGCUGAGACGCGAAAGCGUGGGGAGCAAACAGG